ensembl:snRNA U6 U6 spliceosomal RNA
GUGCUCACUUCACCAACACAUAUACUAAAAUUGGAAUGAUACAGAGAUUAACAUGGACCCUGUGUAAGGAUGACAUGCAAAUUCACGAAGCGUUCCAUAUUUUU